CGUUACUGGAAAGAUUUGCUGUGUGUCUUCGUCUCCACCACCACAAAGCUGACAGCGGGCCGCGUGUGGUGCUCUCCGAAUUAGGGCUUCUCCUUCUCCUCCACUUCAUCCUCGAGGUGAUCAGUUAUGGCGAUCCUCUCGCCCCGAUCGCUCGCGUUGUCUCUGCCUCGCUUAUCGCCCCGCUCCUCGCCGCCGUUGCGGAAGCCCUCCGUCUCUUUGACCGAUCUCUCCGCUCCGUCCCUCCCCCGUCGCCUGCCGCUUGCGGUCCGCCGAGCUGCAUCAGCGAAUCCCUCUCCCUUGGCCGCCGCCGAUGCGAGCACCUGGGAGGUUCUUGGCGGCGUCAGUGUCUUGGCGGCGUCCACCGGUGAGCCCGUGUUGUUUAAGGAUCUGUGGGACCAAAACGAGGGAGUAGCUGUGGUUGCACUUUUAAGGCAAUUUGGAUGUAUUUGCUGUUGGGAACUUGCUUCAGUUUUGAAAGACUCAAUGCCAAGAUUUGAUUCGGCUGGAAUUAAGCUAAUUGCAGUUGGUGUUGGUACUCCUGACAGAGCUCGCAUUCUUGCUGAACGGCUGCCCUUUCCCCUGGAUUGCCUAUAUGCGGACCCAGAUAGGAAGGCUUAUGAAGUCUUGGGCUUGUAUUACGGUUUGGGCCGCACUUUUUUCAAUCCUGCCAGUGCCAAGGUGUUUUCAAGAUGGGAUUCUAUCAAAAAGGCAGGCAAGAACUAUACCAUUGCAGCCACUCCGGAUGAUAAGGCCAGUGUCCUGCAGCAGGGUGGUAUGCUUGUAUUCAGAGGGAAGCAGUUGUUGUAUGCAAGAAAAGAUGAAGGGACGGGUGAUCAUGCACCUUUAGAUGAAAUCUUUGACAUAUGCUGCAGAGUCCCAGUUGCAUAAACUUGGACAACUAUCAUGCGUAAUUAACUUAAAUAGGUAAAGCAGUAACCUGGUGAUAAAGUUAUGAGAAGAUGCUAAUACUGUCAAGACUUGCUCUUUUCUACCACCAACAAGUUAUUACACUUUAUAUUAUACAAGUUGCUCAAGUUUGUGUUGCAGAGGUGGCGAUCUCGGACCUGUCCUGUUCGCUAUGCUCAAUAAGGUAAUUAUUAUGGCAUGUAUUCAUCAAGUGAAAAUUAAUUUAAUAAGAUAGUAUAUGUGUUUUAGUUGUGUUUUCAAUUUCUCAUCGACACAAAUACAGAUAAAAUCUCGUGUUUAUCAUCUUAACACUUGCCUACUGAAUCUAUCAUGUAAGUCACCCUCACCAACAUUCUUCUCUUGUGUGAUUUGCUUUCAGAGGUCUUUUUUAUAU